rnacentral:rRNA from 1 species
GGCUCAGGACGAACGCUGGCGGCGUGCUUAACACAUGCAAGUCGAGCGGUAAGGCCUUUCGGGGUACACGAGCGGCGAACGGGUGAGUAACACGUGGGUGAUCUGCCCUGCACUUCGGGAUAAGCCUGGGAAACUGGGUCUAAUACCGGAUAUGACCUCCUAUCGCAUGGUGGGUGGUGGAAAGAUUUAUCGGUGCAGGAUGGGCCCGCGGCCUAUCAGCUUGUUGGUGGGGUAAUGGCCUACCAAGGCGACGACGGGUAGCCGACCUGAGAGGGUGACCGGCCACACUGGGACUGAGACACGGCCCAGACUCCUACGGGAGGCAGCAGUGGGGAAUAUUGCACAAUGGGCGAAAGCCUGAUGCAGCGACGCCGCGUGAGGGAUGACGGCCUUCGGGUUGUAAACCUCUUUCAGCAGGGACGAAGCGCAAGUGACGGUACCUGCAGAAGAAGCACCGGCUAACUACGUGCCAGCAGCCGCGGUAAUACGUAGGGUGCAAGCGUUGUCCGGAAUUACUGGGCGUAAAGAGUUCGUAGGCGGUUUGUCGCGUCGUUUGUGAAAACCAGCAGCUCAACUGCUGGCUUGCAGGCGAUACGGGCAGACUUGAGUACUGCAGGGGAGACUGGAAUUCCUGGUGUAGCGGUGAAAUGCGCAGAUAUCAGGAGGAACACCGGUGGCGAAGGCGGGUCUCUGGGCAGUAACUGACG